rnacentral:tRNA from 1 species
GGAGAGAUGGCCGAGUGGUUCAAGGCGUAGCAUUGGAACUGCUAUGUAGACUUUUGUUUACCGAGGGUUCGAAUCCCUCUCUCUCCGUUUCCUUUUCAUUCAUCAACGUUACCGACUACAAUGUAUGAAAUUUACCGAGGGUUCGAAUCCCUCUCUCUCCG